rnacentral:rRNA from 1 species
UACGAAGGGAGCUAGCGUUGUUCGGAAUCACUGGGCGUAAAGCGCACGUAGGCGGAUGUGUCAGUCAGGGGUGAAAUCCCGGAGCUCAACUUCGGAACUGCCUUUGAUACAGCACGUCUUGAGUCCGAUAGAGGUGGGUGGAAUUCCUAGUGUAGAGGUGAAAUGCGUAGAUAUCGGAAGGAACAUCAGUGGCGAAAGCGGCUUCCUGGACCAGAACUGACGAUCAGGCUCGAAAGCGUGGGGAGCAAACAGG